UUCUGCGGCAGUAACGACGCGAGUGAGCGUGUACACUCAGCCCUCUACAAUCGUGCCACUUCAGCCAGC